rnacentral:misc_RNA from 1 species
AAGUCGUAACAAGGUUUCCGUAGGUGAACCUGCGGAAGGAUCAUUAACACGUAUCCACGUAUCAACCAACUGCGAACCUGUUCUCACCUCUCCCUGCCGGUUACAUGAAUUGGAAUUGAGGGUGCAUUUUUAUGAUGGGGCUAGCCCAAAUGCACUCACUACCACCUGUCGCAGCAAUGCGACUGACAAUUGGAGUAACAGUCAGGCCAACCUUCUGCUAUCGCCUCGUACCGUCAUUUCGAGCGAUAGUGGGAACACACAUACUCACCUAUUUCACCCCCUUUUUGCUAGUUGACUUUUAUAUGUUGUCUCAGUGCGGUACGCUCGUAUUCGCUGGCACACACGUUUAUUAUUUGAACGUUAAAAUUACAACUCUUAGCAAUGGAUAUCUUGGUUCUC